GAUCCUGGCUCAGAUUGAACGCUGGCGGCAUGCUUUACACAUGCAAGUCGAAUGGCAGCACGGAGAGCUUGCUAUCUGGUGGCGAGUGGCGUACGGGUGAGUAAUACAUCGGAACGUGUCCUGUUGUGGGGGACAACCGGUCGAAAGACCGGCUAAUACCGCAUAAGACCUGAGGGUGAAAGCGGGGGAUCGCAAGACCUCGCGCAAUUGGAGCGGCCGAUGCCCGAUUAG
rnacentral:rRNA from 1 species